GCUGAUUUGUUUUAUAAUUAUAAUAUACAACAUUCUAUAAUAAAAAUGGAUCCGAUAUUUGGAUUUUUAUUUUCUAUCCAUAUCCAAUCCGAACAAAUAUUCGGAGGUUUUUUAUUUGCACUCAACUGAAUAUAAUGAAAUAAAAUAGAAUAUCGGUAAUAUUUAAAAUUUAGAACAUAAAAUAUCUUGAAUCAAUUAGAUACAAAUAAAUAUUAUAUAUAUCCCCUCAAUACUCACUACAUUCCAAGUUCUAAAUUCAAAAUAUUAUAUUCCUAAAAACUUGGUUGGAAGAAAAUACGUCUCCGAAUAGACAUAACUUUUUGUAGUAACACGCUCAUGUUCACAUAAACCCUCUAUAAUUUAAAUAAUUACAUAUUAUAUAUAUAUAUAAUAUUAUAAAGAUGUGAUAGAUUUAGAUAUCAUACCGGAUUAGUUUGGUUUGUUGGAUAUUACGUAAACCUAAUUACAACUUGCAACCCUAGGUCAUUAAUUUACACAACUAGCUAGGUUUCAAAGAUUAGUUGUACUAUAAAAGUUCAAAUAUUCAUAUAUGAAAAGGAAAGAGACUUGAAAUUAAUUAGCAGAGAUAAUAUAUAUAUAUAUAUAUAUAUUUACGGCUGUUUCUCCGACCGAGGAUUUGAACCCUGCAUCCAAGCGGAUUCCUGAUAUGAAAAUCGAAAAAGGGACAAGUUUAAUCUAUGGUUAUUCACUUAUUCAUUGUCAUACAAAAUAUUAAACUCAUAUAUAUAUAUAUAUAUAUAUAUAUAUAUAUAUAUAUAUAUAUAUAUUAUAUAUAUAUAUACACACACAUACACACAAAUGUACAUACCUGAAACGUUAGAGACGAGAAGAGACGCAAGGAUGAAGAAGAUGACGAUCCUCAUGGCUCCGGUUAUAUUCCAAGGGAUAUUGCCACGUCAGCUUUUACACAAGACAGGUAGGGUCCACGACCCAAUGGCUCAGGCGCGGCAAAGGCCACCGUGAUCAUAUGCCGUGUCAAGACGACGGUGACGGCCACGAGAACGCCGUGUGCAUGCCACAUGCAACGACCUAACCUUUUCCAUCACAUAAAAUUGUACGGAUUGUAUUCCUAUUGCAUUGAAGAUAUUUAGAUUUUUUUUUCGACAAUGGUAAAUUCGCAAUUAUGGUUAUAUAUAAACUAUUUCAAUUAAAAAUCUUGAUACCUAAUA